rnacentral:rRNA from 1 species
AUGGAUACAACUGUUAAUUGCAACAGGCUUAACAGCAUCCUAAUUCAUGUUUUGCGCCGGAGGGGUCAGGCCCGCCGGGGGCACCGGCACCUCCUGAGGACGGGCUUCCACGGCCGUGGGAGACGACAUCACCAUUGGGGCUGCCCCGACUGCACAAGCCC